UCCCAGGGCUUGCCCUGAAGGUAUCUGAGAU
rnacentral:piRNA from 2 species